AGUCGAACGGCAGCACGGAGCUUGCUCUGGUGGCGAGUGGCGAACGGGUGAGUAAUAUAUCGGAACGUACCCUGGAGUGGGGGAUAACGUAGCGAAAGUUACGCUAAUACCGCAUACGAUCUACGGAUGAAAGUGGGGGAUCGCAAGACCUCAUGCUCGUGGAGCGGCCGAUAUCUGAUUAGCUAGUUGGUAGGGUAAAAGCCUACCAAGGCAUCGAUCAGUAGCUGGUCUGAGAGGACGACCAGCCACACUGGAACUGAGACACGGUCCAGACUCCUACGGGAGGCAGCAGUGGGGAAUUUUGGACAAUGGGCGAAAGCCUGAUCCAGCAAUGCCGCGUGAGUGAAGAAGGCCUUCGGGUUGUAAAGCUCUUUUGUCAGGGAAGAAACGGUGAGGGCUAAUAUCCCUUGCUAAUGACGGUACCUGAAGAAUAAGCACCGGCUAACUACGUGCCAGCAGCCGCGGUAAUACGUAGGGUGCAAGCGUUAAUCGGAAUUACUGGGCGUAAAGCGUGCGCAGGCGGUUUUGUAAGUCUGAUGUGAAAUCCCCGGGCUCAACCUGGGAAUUGCAUUGGAGACUGCAAGGCUAGAAUCUGGCAGAGGGGGGUAGAAUUCCACGUGUAGCAGUGAAAUGCGUAGAUAUGUGGAGGAACACCGAUGGCGAAGGCAGCCCCCUGGGUCAAGAUUGACGCUCAUGCACGAAAGCGUGGGGAGCAAACAGGAUUAGAUACCCUGGUAGUCCACGCCCUAAACGAUGUCUACUAGUUGUCGGGUCUUAAUUGACUUGGUAACGCAGCUAAC
rnacentral:rRNA from 1 species